UGAGCGCUAUGAAGAUGUCGAUACUACGCAGUCUCGUCAUUGACACAAUAAGCGCCAGAUUAAUAUAAAUUGAGACCUGUUAAUAGUCUCAGUUGAGCCAACAGGGCCGCAAAGAUACAAGCCUAUCUUUGUUCGGUAGUAAGUCGCUUGCACAAU